GGGCGGUUAGCUCAGCGGUAGAGCACCACGUUGACAUCGUGGGGGUCACAAGUUCGAACCUUGUACCGCCCACCA
rnacentral:tRNA from 1 species